UACGUAGGGUCCGAGCGUUGUCCGGAAUUACUGGGCGUAAAGAGCUCGUAGGUGGUUUGUCGCGUUGUUCGUGAAAACUCACAGCUCAACUGUGGGCGUGCGGGCGAUACGGGCAGACUGGAGUACUGCAGGGGAGACUGGAAUUCCUGGUGUAGCGGUGGAAUGCGCAGAUAUCGAGAGGAACACCUGCGGCGAAGGCGGGUUGCUGGGCUGAUACUGACGCUGAUGCGCGAAAGCCAGGGGAGCGAACGGG
rnacentral:rRNA from 1 species